UACAGAGGUCCCAAGCGUUGUUCGGAUUCACUGGGCGUAAAGGGUGCGUAGGCGGUCGGGUAAGUCUGAUGUGAAAUCUCACAGCUUGACUGUGAAACUGCAUUGGAUACUAUCCGGCUAGAGGAAUGGAGGGGAGACUGGAAUACUUGGUGUAGCAGUGAAAUGCGUAGAUAUCAAGUGGAACACCAGUGGCGAAGGCGAGUCUCUGGACAUUUCCUGACGCUGAGGCACGAAAGCCAGGGGAGCAAACGGG
rnacentral:rRNA from 1 species